UAGGGAAUCUUCGGCAAUGGACGGAAGUCUGACCGAGCAACGCCGCGUGAGUGAAGAAGGUUUUCGGAUCGUAAAGCUCUGUUGUAAGAGAAGAACGAGUGUGAGAGUGGAAAGUUCACACUGUGACGGUAUCUUACCAGAAAGGGACGGCUAACUACGUGCCAGCAGCCGCGGUAAUACGUAGGUCCCGAGCGUUGUCCGGAUUUAUUGGGCGUAAAGCGAGCGCAGGCGGUUAGAUAAGUCUGAAGUUAAAGGCUGUGGCUUAACCAUAGUAGGCUUUGGAAACUGUUUAACUUGAGUGCAAGAGGGGAGAGUGGAAUUCCAUGUGUAGCGGUGAAAUGCGUAGAUAUAUGGAGGAACACCGGUGGCGAAAGCGGCUCUCUGGCUUGUAACUGACGCUGAAGCUCGAAAGCGUGGGGAGCAAACAGGAUUAGAUACCCUGGUAGUCCACGCUGUAAACGAUGAGUGCUAGGUGUUAGACCCUUUCCGGGGUUUAGUGCCGUAGCUAACGCAUUAAGCACUCCGCCUGGGGAGUACGACCGCAAGGUUG
rnacentral:rRNA from 1 species